UGGAGUAUGGUGCCCAGUUGUUCAAACACUAACCUAGGUGUCGCUGUGAAGUUCUUUUGUAGAUGUAACUAAUCUCUACAAUCAGUUGACUUUAAAUAAAGCAGAUGACCCUCCAUAAUGUGGGUGGGCCUUAUCCAAUCAAUUGAAAGCUGUAAGACCAAAAACUGAGGUUGCCCUAAGAAGAAGGAAUUCUGCCUCAAGGCUGUAACCUAAAAAAUCCUGCCUGAGUUUUCAGCCUGCUAGCCUGCACAACAGAUCUGUAGAUUUUAGGCUUGCCAACCUUCCCAAUCGUGUGUGCCAAUUUCUUCAAAUUCCUUUCUCUUUCUGUCCCCCUUCCCUUCCAAUUUAAUCAAGAAACACAUGUUAAACUAUAAUUAGUCAAUGACUAAUGGUCAAUGACUUCCCUUUCCCCCCACCCCAUAUCUCUGUCUCUAUCUCUCUCAACCUCUCUCUCUCCCCUCUGCCAUGUAAUAGAUGAGCAUAUAGAAUGUAGGCCCUUCAACAGUAGUAGACCAACUGGUGAAAUGUCUAAAAGCUCAGGAAUAUAAUUUUUAGUGUAAUUUCAAAUGUAAAGUAGGACUCUCAGAAGACAGGAAAUGCAAAUAAAAUGAAGCACAGAGAUAUUUAGAACACACUCUCCAUGAAGACAAAGACAUUGCCUUGUUCACAAUAUGUCCAUAGGUCUAAAAUGGUAACUAAACAACUUAAAAAACAUGUGUUGAAAAGGAAUACAUGCUAGAAUUCUAUAGCUAUGUACAGCAAGGUAGGAUAUUUUUUCCUAUUGGUAUCCACCCAAACUAUUUUUCUUCUGAGCUAACAGAACAUCAUGGAGGAGGUAUGUAUUCAAGCAUCCAUCCUCACAUGCAUCCGUUCAUAAAGCAUGCACUGAGAACAUGCCACAUUCUACAGGCUGUGCUGGCCUUCAGACUGUGAGAUGAAGAUGUCUUCCCUUUGGAGCACCACAGGCUGAUUCUCCAUAUACCAGUAGGGAAUCAGGAAACUACAAUAUCCAUCAGCAUCCACAACUCCUGCCAGGUAUUGCCAUGGUCCUAGGAAGUUUCACAGUCACUUAAAAAGAUUAUAGUAAUGAAAGAGGAAAGAUUUUUGUAUCUCAAAAGAAAAAGACCAGUUCUAGCCAAGAAACACAAGUCUAAACCUUCUUGGAAAGAG